rnacentral:rRNA from 1 species
AACGCGAAGAACCUUACCAAGGCUUGACAUAUAGCGAAAAGUGGCAGAGAUGUCAUGUCCGCAAGGGCGCUAUACAGGUGGUGCAUGGUUGUCGUCAGCUCGUGUCGUGAGAUGUUGGGUUAAGUCCCGCAACGAGCGCAACCCUCGUUCUGUGUUACCAGCAUUCAGUUGGGGACUCACAGGAGACUGCCGGGGUCAACUCGGAGGAAGGUGGGGAUGACGUCAAAUCAUCAUGCCCCUUAUGUCUUGGGCUGCACGCAUGCUACAAUGGCCGGUACAAAGUGCUGCGAGAUCGUAAGAUUGAGCGAAUCACAUAAAGCCGGUCUCAGUUCGGAUUGAGGUCUGCAACUCGACCCCAUGAAGUCGGAGUUGCUAGUAAUCGUAGAUCAGCAACGCUACGGUGAAUACGUUCCCGGGUCUUGUACACACCG